rnacentral:rRNA from 1 species
UGGGCGGCGAGCGGCGGACGGGUGAGUAAUGCCUGGGAAUAUGCCCUGAUGUGGGGGAUAACCAUUGGAAACGAUGGCUAAUACCGCAUAAUCUCUUCGGAGCAAAGAGGGGGACCUUCGGGCCUCUCGCGUCAGGAUUAGCCCAGGUGGGAUUAGCUAGUUGGUGAGGUAAAGGCUCACCAAGGCGACGAUCCCUAGCUGGUCUGAGAGGAUGAUCAGCCACACUGGAACUGAGACACGGUCCAGACUCCUACGGGAGGCAGCAGUGGGGAAUAUUGCACAAUGGGGGAAACCCUGAUGCAGCCAUGCCGCGUGUAUGAAGAAGGCCUUCGGGUUGUAAAGUACUUUCAGCAGUGAGGAAGGUGGUGUCGUUAAUAGCGNCAUUGCUUGACGUUAGCUGCAGAAGAAGCACCGGCUAACUCCGUGCCAGCAGCCGCGGUAAUACGGAGGGUGCGAGCGUUAAUCGGAAUUACUGGGCGUAAAGCGCAUGCAGGCGGUCUGUUAAGCAAGAUGUGANAGCCCGGGGCUNANNCUCGGAACUGCAUUUUGAACUGGCAGACUAGAGUCUUGUAGAGGGGGGUAGAAUUUCAGGUGUAGCGGUGAAAUGCGUAGAGAUCUGAAGGAAUA